UGGGGAAUAUUGCACAAUGGGCGAAAGCCUGAUGCAGCAACGCCGCGUGAGGGACGACGGCCUUCGGGUUGUAAACCUCUUUUAGCAAGGAAGAAGCGAAAGUGACGGUACUUGCAGAAAAAGCGCCGGCUAACUACGUGCCAGCAGCCGCGGUAAUACGUAGGGCGCAAGCGUUAUCCGGAAUUAUUGGGCGUAAAGAGCUCGUAGGCGGUUUGUCGCGUCUGCUGUGAAAACCCGAGGCUCAACCUCGGGCCUGCAGUGGGUACGGGCAGACUAGAGUGCGGUAGGGGAGAUUGGAACUCCUGGUGUAGCGGUGGAAUGCGCAGAUAUCAGGAAGAACACCGAUGGCGAAGGCAGAUCUCUGGGCCGUAACUGACGCUGAGGAGCGAAAAGGGUGGGGAGCAAAACAGGCUUAGAUACCCUGGUAGUCCACCCCGUAAACGUUGGGAACUAGUUGUGGGGUCCAUUCCACGGAUUCCGUGACGCAGCUAACGCAUUAAGUUCCCCGCCU
rnacentral:rRNA from 1 species